rnacentral:rRNA from 1 species
UACGUAGGGAGCAAGCGUUGUCCGGAAUCAUUGGGCGUAAAGCGCGCGUAGGCGGCCCCGUAAGUCCGCUGUGAAAGUCAAAGGCUCAACCUUUGAAAGCCGGUGGAUACUGUGGGGCUAGAGUCCGGAAGAGGCGAGUGGAAUUCCUGGUGUAGCGGUGGAAUGCGCAGAUAUCAGGAGGAACACCAAUAGCGAAGGCAGCUCGCUGGGACGGUACUGACGCUAAGGCGCGAAGCGUGGGGAGCAAACAGG